AUGCCCAGAAUUCAAAAACUGAGUCAUCGUCCAUCCCUUCGGACCGAUGGCUGCUAUGAAGUUCCUGAUAUUGAGGAUCUUCCUAGGGCCGGAACACAAGUCAAAGUGUCAUUCAAUGGUUUCCUUAGUUGCAAGACAAUGGCUCCCUAUGUUACCGAUCCGGUGUUGCUGUGCGUGAGGACGGACAUGGGGAAGGUGCAACAAGGCAGCGCUCAAGUUGCAGUGGAGUGGAGUCGACCAUCACUACUGACCGCUGCUCGGCGAUCCUCGCCCCUCACCCCCCAUCUAGAUGUGGUUAGGAACUAA
rnacentral:rRNA from 1 species